GUAUUUUAUUAUAGGACUGUAUGGUACGAACUUUUAUGUGGCGAGUGGCCCUUUAAAGGACAACCUCCCGAAGCAAUCAUUUGGCAAGUUGGCAAAGGGAUGAAGCAAACUUUAGCAAAUUUACAAGCUUCCCGCGAUGUAAAGGACAUCUUAAUGCUUUGCUGGUCAUACCACGCAGAAAAUCGACCCGACUUCGCAAAAUUGUUAACUACUCUGGAAAAGCUGCCUCGCAAAAGGUUAGCACGUAGUCCUUCUCAUCCUAUACAUCUUUCUCGUUCUGCAGAAUCCGUGUUUUGAAUACAUUUAAGUCCAUUAAAAAAAUACACUGUUGUUCUCGUAGUGUAAAUAUAGAACUGUGCAAUUAAUUGCCAGAUCUUUGUUCGUGAAAGGUAAAAAUAAAAAUAAUCACUGAAGGGUUCUUUUGUCUAUUCUUAUUUAUAGUGAACAAAAAGAAUUG